rnacentral:rRNA from 1 species
UGAGCAAUCUGCCCUUCUCUUCGGAAUAAGCGUUGGAAACGACGUCUAAUGCCGAAUACGACCUCCUUUCACAUGAUCGGAGGUGGAAAGCUCCGGCGGAGAAGGAUGAGCUCGCGGCCUAUCAGCUAGUUGGUGUGGGUAAUGGCCCACAAGGCGACGACGGGUAGCCGGCCUGAGAGGGUGACCGGCCACACGUGGGACUGAGACACGGCCCAGACUCCGUACGGGAGNAG